rnacentral:rRNA from 1 species
CUACAGGUCGCAGCAGGCGCGAAACCUUUCCAAUGCACGAAAGUGUGAGAAGAGAAUCCCAAGUGCUCAUGCAUAGCAUGGGCUUUUGCCAAGUGUAAGUAGCUUGGAGAAUAAGUGGUGGGCAAGACCGGUGCCAGCAGCCGCGGUAACACCGGCGCCACAAGUGGCAACCGUGUUUAUUGGGCCUAAAGCGUUCGUAGCUGGUUUCGUAAAUUUCUUGUGAAAUCGUGGUGCUUAACAUCACGGCGUGCAGGAAAGACUGCGAGACUUGGGACCGGGAGGAGUCAGGGGUAUGCCUGGGGGAGCGGUAAAAUGUUGUAAUCCUUGGUAGACCACCUGUGGCGAAGGCGCCUGACCAGAACGGAUCCGACAGUGAGGAACGAAAGCUAGGGGAGCAAAACGGAUUAGAUACCCUGGUAGUC